rnacentral:snRNA from 1 species
GGAUGUGAGGGUGAUCUGCCUGUGACAUCUGUCACCCUGCUGAUCACCAGAGUUGAUUCGGCUGAUCAGUAUAGCUAGGUGGCUGUCCCCUUCCUCCCUGACUGCUCCAUUUGCAUCCCUCCAGGAGUCUGUGUGCUAAGUCUAAGAGAACUAAUUGCCUUUCCACAUAGAGGAGGACCCGCUUUUAGUCCAUGGUAUGCACAUAGCUGCAUUCUCCUGCUAGAACCACCAAAAAUGUUCUCAAGAGCCAAAUGUAGGUGUUUACUGAUAGAGAUUUCCUUCGGAACACUUUAUUC